AUUGAACGCUGGCGGCAGGCUUAACACAUGCAAGUCGAGCGGAGAUGAGGUGCUUGCACCUUAUCUUAGCGGCGGACGGGUGAGUAAUGCUUAGGAAUCUGCCAUUUAGUGGGGGACAACAUUCCGAAAGGAAUGCUAAUACCGCAUACGUCCUACGGAAGAAAGCAGGGGAUCUUCGGACCUUGCGCUAAAUGAUGAGCCUAAGUCGGAUUAGCUAGUUGGUGGGGUAAAGGCCUACCAAGGCGACGAUCUGUGGCGGGUCUGAGAGGAUGAUCCGCCACACUGGGACUGAGACACGGCCCAGACUCCUACGGGAGGCAGCAGUGGGGAAUAUUGGACAAUGGGCGGAAGCCUGAUCCAGCCAUGCCGCGUGUGUGAAGAAGGCCUUUUGGUUGUAAAGCACUUUAAGCGAGGAGGAGGCUACUAGUACUAAUACUACUGGAUAGUGGACGUUACUCGCAGAAUAAGCACCGGCUAACUCUGUGCCAGCCGCCGCGGUAAAAC
rnacentral:rRNA from 1 species